AUGUAAUUCAAAGUGCUAGGAAAUCACUUAUAAGAUUGUCGUACAGAGCUUUGUGGACGUAUCUGAGAGACGAAAGACAGAAGUCCUCAUAGAAAGAGGAGAGAAUGGAAACUUACAGAAAGAAGUGUCCACAGGUACUUUUCAUCUUCUCAAAUUGAGCUGCUGUCGACCUGUGUCCUUCUCUCCAGCUUCUGGCAACUGCCAUCCUGUUUUCCACCUCUAGGAAUUUGUCUUCUCUGGGUUCCGCAUCUAAGUGGAGUCAGUUUCUGAGUUGUGAGCCACAGAGGUUAAAGCGAUGCUGUUGGGAAACAUGGGCUAUCACCUCAAAUUGAGCCAAACCUUCAGAGACGCUUUCGCAAAGGACAGACACCUAAGAGUCACCGACCACGGGCAGCUGAAAACCUAAUGUCACAUCAUUUCGGGUUCUUUUCAUCUAUUUAAGAUCCAAACCCCAAGGAGAACACCUCGUUGUUCUAGAGUAUCUUAAUCUGUUCUCAGCUUGACAGUAAAAGUAUCCCAUUCGGGGGCAGACACCAACCUUCUGGAGGUCAAAUUGGAUGUCAGUGUGUUUCCAAUAAUCAGGAAAACAGAGAUUG
rnacentral:lncRNA from 1 species